GACGAACCGUCCGAACGUUAUUCGGAAUCACUGGGCUUAAAGGGUGCGUAGGCGGCGCGGAAAGUUGGGUGUGAAAUCCCUCGGCUCAACCGAGGAACUGCGCCCAAUACUACCGUGCUCGAGGGAGAUAGAGGUGAGCGGAACUUAGGGUGGAGCGGUGAAAUGCGUUGAUAUCCUAAGGAACACCGGUGGCGAAAGCGGCUACACUGGAUCUCUUCUGACGCUGAGGCACGAAAGCUAGGGUAGCGAACGGG
rnacentral:rRNA from 1 species